rnacentral:rRNA from 1 species
CCUACGGGAGGCAGCAGUGGGGAAUAUUGGGCAAUGGGCGCAAGCCUGACCCAGCAACGCCGCGUGAAGGAAGAAGGCUUUCGGGUUGUAAACUUCUUUUCUCAGGGACGAAGCAAGUGACGGUACCUGAGGAAUAAGCCACGGCUAACUACGUGCCAGCAGCCGCGGGAAUACGUAGGUGGCAAGCGUUAUCCGGAUUUACUGGGUGUAAAGGGCGUGUAGGCGGGAAAGCAAGUCAGAUGUGAAAACCAUGGGCUCAACCUGUGGCCUGCAGUUGAAACUGUUUUUCUUGAGUACUGGAGAGGCAGACGGAAUGCCUGGUGUAGCGGUGAAAUGCGUAGAUAUUAGGAGGAACACCAGUGGCGAAGGCGGUCUGCUGGACAGCAACUGACGCUGAGGCGCGAAAGCGUGGGGAGCAAACAGGAUUAGAUACCCGGGUAGUC